rnacentral:rRNA from 1 species
CGUGGGUAACCUGCCCUUAAGUCUGGGAUACCAUUUGGAAACAGAUGCUAAUACCGGAUAAAAGCUACUUUCGCAUGAAAGAAGUUUAAAAGGCGGCGUAAGCUGUCGCUAAAGGAUGGACCUGCGAUGCAUUAGCUAGUUGGUAAGGUAACGGCUUACCAAGGCGAUGAUGCAUAGCCGAGUUGAGAGACUGAUAGGCCACAUUGGGACUGAGACACGGGCCCAAACUCCUACGGGAGGCAGCAGCU